rnacentral:rRNA from 1 species
UACGUAGGCAGCGAGCGUUGUUCGGAGUUACUGGGCGUAAAGAGUGCGUAGGCGGUUUUCUAAGUUUGGUGUGAAAUCUCCCGGCUUAACUGGGAGGGUGCGCCGAAGACUGGAAGGCUUGAGUAUGGGAGAGGUAAGCGGAAUUCCUGGUGUAGCGGUGAAAUGCGUAGAUAUCGGGAGGAACACCAGUGGCGAAGGCGACUUCCUGGCCUGUUCUUGACGCUGAGGCGCGAAAGCUAGGGUAGCAAACGGG